rnacentral:lncRNA from 1 species
CUGAACUGCAAUUAAAGAGAAUAACAAAACUCAAUUUCUACUGUACACUUUGCUUUCUCAUCUAAACCUCAUGACAUUCCCAUGAGAGGAGAUAUUAAUACCAUCCCAUUCUUUAGGUGGGGAAACUGAGGUUGACAGAGAUGAAGGACUGUCCCCAGUGUCUCCAGAAAGUAAACGGCAGAGGCAGGAUGCAGUUGAGAUGCCCUGGCUCUUGGCCUGCCUCAUGACCACUGUGUCCACCCUCCUGGAGUGUGCACGGAUACCUGACUUGCCUGGAGGCACAGACCGACGGGCACAGGAGCAGGCGGAGCUGGAACUGGAUUCUGGACUCUUCGCCCUGGAUGCUGUUCUCUAAAAACUCCGCCAGGAGGCGCGCUGCAGGGCGACAGUGCAGAGAGCUGUCUGGUCCGAUUGGGGGUGUACCGGCGGGGCUCUGAGAGGGAGCCCCAGCCUCAAACCGUCCUUUCCUUGGAGAGGACACCCUGGGGUGUCCUAAACACAGGGACACGGGCCUCUCUGCAUCUCCCAGGUCACUGCUUUCCUUACUGAAUGAAUGACUUGCUGUGACCUAGAGUCUAGCCCCAGUGCUUCCGUUGAGGGCGCCUUCCUUUGCCUGUUCUCCCUUUAGUCCGCCCUGGCUCCCUCCCUGGCCUCUGGCUCUGCAGUCGGCCUCGGCCGCCGGUUCCGCGGGCCGCCACUGGGUGGCGCAGCUGCCCGCGCGUGCUGAGGGGCCGCGGAGCGGUGCAGCCAGCCUCGGCCUCCCAGACCUCCAGCCAGCAGCCCGGGGCCGCCUUCUGUCAGCCUAGGCUCCGGGCUCCUGGGGCUGAGGAGGUCGGGAUCGUGUCGGCAAAGAGCAGGGU